UACGGAGGAUCCGAGCGUUAUCCGGAUUUAUUGGGUUUAAAGGGUGCGCAGGCGGAAGAUUAAGUCGGUGGUGAAAUUUUGCAGCUCAACUGUAAAAGUGCCAUUGAUACUGGUUUUCUUGAGUGUGGAUGAAGUAGGCGGAAUUUGUGGUGUAGCGGUGAAAUGCAUAGAUAUCACGAGGAACUCCGAUUGCGCAGGCAGCUUACUAGGCCAUAACUGACGCUCAGGCACGAAGGCGUGGGGAGUCAAACAGGAUUAGAUA
rnacentral:rRNA from 1 species